ensembl:lncRNA
GGUUGUUACCAUGUGAUCCCAGUGUGAUGUUAUAUUGCCGUUGUGAUGUCUUGUUUUUAAUCUGAUGAAUGUUGUGUCAACAGUGUGGGAGGCGCAGCUCCAGUACUUGCUUUCUUGAACCUGUGUGAUGCACAAGAUGUUGAUCCAACCGCACAGUGAGCUCUGCAGGGUGGUCAGGACGGCUGGAGACGUGGAGGACGGGGCGGGGAGCCAGGCUCACCAGUGACGUCCUGGGCGAGGCGUGGGGCGCCAGGAGGGACCGAGGCGGACCACCAAGCUGCUCUGAAACGCCCAAGGCCAGGACCCGUGGUGGAGGGCAGCUAGUGGGGAGCAGUGCUGGAGGACCUGCUGGGAAGGACAUCCCUCGUUGGGGUAAAGACACCCGUCUCUGAGAUGUGAAGGCUGCAGAGGACCCACCAGGAUCCCCUUGGAGGACAACAAAUGGACUACGUGAGGUCUUUGGAAGCACUACAGUUCAGAAUGCCUUCCAAAGAAUGAAGCCCACCCCCCAUGGCUCAGCUAGUGGCGUUCACCGGACCAGGAACCCCGAGACCUGAAGGAGGAGCCGUGCAUCUGGAGGAACACCAUGAGGCUACCCGCCAAGUAUUACUCUGAGCUCUGCAGGGUGGUCAGGACGGCUGGAGACGUGGAGGGCGGGCGGGGAGCCAGGCUCACCAGUGAUCUCCUGGGCGAGGCGUGGGGCGCCAGGAGGGACCGAGGCCGACCACCAAGCUGUUCUGAAACGCUGAAGGACCCGUGGUGGAGGGCAGCUAGUGCGGAGCCGUGCUGGAGGACCUGCUGGGAAGGACAUCCCUCGUUGGGGUAAAGACACCCGUCUCUGAGAUGUGAAGGCUGCAGAGGACCCACCAGGAUCCCCUUGGAGGACAACAAAUGGACUACGUGAGAUCUUUGGAAGCACUACAGUUCAGAAUGCCUUCCAAAGAAUGAAGCCCACCCCCCAUGGCUCAGCUAGUGGCGUUCACCGGACCAGGAACCCGAGACCUGAAGGAGGAGCCGUGCAUCUCGAAGAACACCAUGAGGCUACCCGCCAAGUAUUACUCACUUCCACGAGGAGGGGGACUGUCGGCUGGAGGACCUCCCUACUGGUGGAGCGAGUGACACCCGGCUCUACAGGGAAGACCACGGUGGAGAGAGGGCUGAAGCUGUGCAUCCUGAAGGGGAAACAGGCGCGGUUGAAGUGCUGUGUUCAGUCUGGGAAGGACACACCUGAGCUGUUUCACCCUGAGCUGCUUCACACCUGCAUCUCUAACCAGCUGAAGCCCUUCAGUGACCAACAAAAGGUCCCUCAUCACAGCUUAUCAUCGCUGGCCUGAGGAUUCAUCCUACACUCACACAACGUGACUUUGUCACCAUCUGCUGCACGUUGGGAUGCUAACGUGUUCCACCAGGGGUUCCUUCCUUCCCGCAGUGGGAGUGUUCCUUGUCCUUCAAGGAGUUAGGGUUCAGUGUUAGGGACAGAGUUAGGGAGAGAUGGUUGAGUCCUGGCUGGUUUACGAUGAACUGCUCUAACGCUUUGCCAAAAUGUUUCAAUGUGCAAACACUCACAAACACAUACAAUGUAUAAUAAGUGUUUAUGAAAUAAAUUCUGUUUAUAAUUCUGCAUGUUUGUGUGGGGGUUUUAUUACCAUUAAACAAUUUUCUCUCACCGCAACCUCCCC